rnacentral:rRNA from 1 species
GACGAACGCUGGCGGCGUGCUUAACACAUGCCGGUCGAACGGAAAGGCCCUGCUUUUGUGGGGUGCUCGAGUGGCGAACGGGUGAGUAACACGUGAGUAACCUGCCCUUGACUUUGGGAUAACUUCUGGAAACUGGGGCUAAUACCGGAUAGGAGCUCCUGCUGCAUGUUGGGGGUUGGAAAGUUUCGGCGGUUGGGGAUGGACUCGCGGCUUAUCAUCUUGUUGGUGGUGUAGUGGCUUACCAAGGCUUUGACGGGUAGCCGGCAUGAGAGGGUGACCGGCAACAUUGGGACUGAGAGAGGGACCAGAAUCCUACGGGAGGCAGCAGUGGGGAAAAUUGCAAAAUGGGCGGAAGCCUGAUGCAGCAACGCGGCGUGCGGGAUGACGGCCUUCGGGUUGUAAACCGCUUUCGCCUGUGACGAAGCGUGAGUGACGGUAAUGGGUAAAGAAGCACCGGCUAACUACGUG